rnacentral:rRNA from 1 species
UACGUAGGGACCGAGCGUUGUCCGGAUUCAUUGGGCGUAAAGAGCUCGUAGGCGGUUUGUCGCGUCUGCCGUGAAAGUCCGGGGCUCAACUCCGGAUCUGCGGUGGGUACGGGCAGACUAGAGUGAUGUAGGGGAGACUGGAAUUCCUGGUGUAGCGGUGAAAUGCGCAGAUAUCAGGAGGAACACCGAUGGCGAAGGCAGGUCUCUGGGCAUUAACUGACGCUGAGGAGCGAAAGCAUGGGGAGCGAACAGG